GGCCUCAGAACCGCCCGGAGAGAAGCCGCCUUGGAUGGACAGAGGGACGGAGCAGCAAGCAUCCGGCCUCCCCGGCUUCCCUGCAGCGGUCUCCAACUGCUGUCUGCCCGCUGCCCGCCUGCCUGGCAUCUCUCUCCCGUGCUUCCUAUAUGGCAAGCCAGGGACUGAAGCUUACGAUUAGAUUGGACAAUCUAUAAGGUGCUAGCUGCAUUCCUGGUCUGGGAGCAGGGAGACUGUCUGACCCCUGUGUCACACUGGAUGGUUUUACAGAGGUGCCCCACCUGAUCCUGGAUGGACGUCAUCACCCUACAGUAUGGGUAUCAAGGGGGGAGCAAAGGGACUAGGAAGCUCCAGAGGGAUUGGGUGGUCUCUAGUCACUUCCCUCUGUAUGAACCCUGCUGCUCUUCCACUCUGGAGCUGGAAAGCUGUCAGCUGCCACGCCAUGGUGCCAAGCACAUAGUAGGACUUCAAG
ensembl:antisense predicted gene 10863